rnacentral:miRNA from 10 species
GACAGAGAAAGUAUAGGUUGGUGCAAAAGUAAUUGUGGCUUUUGCCAUUAAAAGAAUAACAAAAAUCACAAUUACUUUUGCAACAACCUAAUAAUA